GCAUACAUAGCUCAACUGGAUAGAGCACUUGACUUCGGAUCAAGGGGUUGUGGGUUCAAGUCCUACUGUGUGUA
rnacentral:tRNA from 2 species